UUACGAGGUCAGGACACUGUGAGGAUUGACAGAUUGAAAGCUCUUUCUUGAUUCAGUGGGUGGUGGUGCAUGGCCGUUCUUAGUUGGUGGAGUGAUUUGUCUGGUUAAUUCCGUUAACGAACGAGACCUUAACCUGCUAAAUAGUCACGCGAACCGGUCCGCAAGGGCUCAAAGUUCGCGGCUCGACUUCUUAGAGGGACUAUUCGCACCCGCCAGCGAAUGGAAGUUUGGGGCAAUAACAGGUCUGUGAUGCCCUUAGAUGUUCUCGGCCGCACGCGCGUUACACUGACGGAGUCAACGAGCGUUUUUCCAUGCCCGACAGGGCUGGGUAACCUCCUGAAACUCCGUCGUGAUGGGGAUAGAUCAUUGCAAUUAUUGAUCUUGAACGAGGAAUUCCUAGUAGGCGCGAGUCAUCAACUCGCGCCGAUUACGUCCCUGCCCUUUGUACACACCGCCCGUCGCUCCUACCGAUUGAACGGUCCGGCGAGAACUCCGGAUGGUC
rnacentral:rRNA from 1 species